GAAAACAUGCACUGUGUGGGCCCCCGAGGACAGAGUUUGAGAACCUCUAAAUUAUGAGAUUGGAAAUAACCUAUUCCAUUGAAGUGCAACAAGGAGGUGAACGCCUCUGACCCAGAUUGAAUAAGACACAACACAAAGUGGCUAGCGGAAGAAGGUCCAAAUUUUAUUGAUCACUUCCACAAAGUUGGUGGCCCAGGAAAAGCAAUUGCAAACAUACUAUUCAAAUUUGGUUUCACCUUGAUAAAGAGCCCAGCCAGGGGUAGAAACGCGUUGGUGAGGAGACGUUCAAGUCUGAUUCAGCGGAGAUACCACUGGAUGACAGCAGGCAUGGUGUGGUAAAGUUUCAGGAUCCCCUUUACGAACUCUAUGUGCUGUUACCUUGCAGUUCCAACAUUUGUGGUAAUUACCCACUGUUUGAAA